rnacentral:rRNA from 1 species
AUACGGAGGGUGCAAGCGUUACACGGAAUCACUGGGCGUAAAGCGCGCGCAGGCGGCCAUUUAAGUUGGAUGUGAAAGCCUACGGCUCAACCGUAGAACUGCAUCCAAAACUAUUUGGCUAGAGUGUGGGAGAGGAAGAUGGAAUUAGUUGUGUAGGGGUAAAAUCCGUAGAGAUAACUAGGAAUACCAAAAGCGAAGGCAAUCUUCUGGAACAUUACUGACGCUGAGGCGCGAAAGCGUGGGGAGCAAACAGGAUUAGAUACCCUAGUAGUCC